rnacentral:rRNA from 1 species
GCAGUCGAGCGGAUGAAGAGAGCUUGCUCUCUGAUUCAGCGGCGGACGGGUGAGUAAUGCCUAGGAAUCUGCCUGAUAGUGGGGGACAACGUUUCGAAAGGAACGCUAAUACCGCAUACGUCCUACGGGAGAAAGCAGGGGACCUUCGGGCCUUGCGCUAUCAGAUGAGCCUAGGUCGGAUUAGCUAGUUGGUGAGGUAAUGGCUCACCAAGGCGACGAUCCGUAACUGGUCUGAGAGGAUGAUCAGUCACACUGGAACUGAGACACGGUCCAGACUCCUACGGGAGGCAGCAGUGGGGAAUAUUGGACAAUGGGCGAAAGCCUGAUCCAGCCAUGCCGCGUGUGUGAAGAAGGUCUUCGGAUUGUAAAGCACUUUAAGUUGGGAGGAAGGGCAUUAACCUAAUACGUUAGUGUUUUGACGUUACCGACAGAAUAAGCACCGGCUAACUUCGUGCCAGCAGCCGCGGUAAUACGAAGGGUGCAAGCGUUAAUCGGAAUUACUGGGCGUAAAGCGCGCGUAGGUGGUUUGUUAAGUUGAAUGUGAAAGCCCCGGGCUCAACCUGGGAACUGCAUCCAAAACUGGCAAGCUAGAGUAUGGCAGAGGGUGGUGGAAUUUCCUGUGUAGCGGUGAAAUGCGUAGAUAUAGGAAGGAACACCAGUGGCGAAGGCGACCACCUGGGCUAAUACUGACACUGAGGUGCGAAAGCGUG